GAGGAGCUUAUGCCACUCGACAGGUUGGAGAAGAGCGUAAGCCACUCGACGAGGAAGGAUAAGAAUAUGAGUCCUCCUUAAUGAAAAAAGCAUCAAGUUGACGUUAGAGAAUAGAUCUUUGAAGAAAAAUGAAAUAGAAAGCCGAGCGAGUUAGACUAACAAGCUCUUUAUGUAUCGUAGGAAUCAUUAGAACCGCUGGCCCUAAGACCCUCAAGACACGAGCUCCACAAUGGAAGUAGGAGCAUCAACCAUUUGUCGAAUCGAAAGCUUCGCCUACGACGGAACUCAGCGCUUGUCUUACUUUUUUGGAUCUAAAACCAUACUCCAACCCUGCAACAAAUGAGCGGCAUAUGAACGGAACGAGACCCUACGAAGAGACUAAGAUCGGGGAGAAAAAAGCCCUUUAUUACUAUCCAUUCAUUUUAUGAUUUGGAAUAGUUUGUGGAUUCUGCAGGUGAAGAUUCGGCGUCGGCCUAGGCUUCUUUAUACCUUGGAUUUGGUACGAGAGCCUAUGCUUUAGGAACAGGCUCAGGCCACAACGCUUAAGGUGGAAAGAAAGAAUCCUACUCACUUUGUAACACAGACUCAAAUGGGAAAACUAAUCAGAAACUUCCACUGCGGAAUGACCCGGAUCAAGGGUAUUCUUAUUGUAGUUAUAGAACCCAUAUUGGCUUGGCUACUUGAAUCAUUUAUUCCCCUCUUUUAUAGCUGAUGAUUUGGCUGAAGCUUUGGAUUCUGUACUUUAUAUUAGGGUAGGGGGAAACAUGAGCUUUUGGUUUUGAUGCUCCAGUGGUGAGUGUAAACCCACCGAAGCGAGUGUGACAAACCCAGUUUUGACUUUCGGGGAAGUGCUCCAAUGUUUAAAGCGGAAGACGAAUCAGAGAGAAAUGGGUAUAUAUCUNNNNNNN
rnacentral:lncRNA from 1 species